UACAGAGGGGGCAAGCGUUGUUCGGAAUUACUGGGCGUAAAGGGCGCGUAGGCGGCCUUCUAAGUCGAACGUGAAAUCCCCAAGCUUAACUUGGGAACUGCAUCCGAUACUGGAUGGCUUGAAUCCGGGAGAGGGAUGCAGAAUUCCAGGUGUAGCGGUGAAAUGCGUAGAUAUCUGGAGGAAUACCGGUGGCGAAGGCGGCAUCCUGGACCGGCAUUGACGCUGAGGAGCGAAAGCUAGGGGAGCAAACGGG
rnacentral:rRNA from 1 species